rnacentral:sRNA from 1 species
UAUAUUAUUAACAUAUUAAGUUGGUUUGUACUCUAUGUCAUUUCAUCCAUGCAUCAAACCCCAUCCAUAUUUCGCUAACGAUAUUAUCUCGAUAAUGCGUUAUCUGCUAAGUAUCCUCAGUUUUAUCAUAUCUCUUUGUAGGGGUAUAUUUUUCAUAUAGAUUUUAGUUGAAAA